ACCUCGAAGGACGUUAUCCCGCUUAUCACCCGGUUGCCACUAUAGGCAAUAGUCAUGCCUUUAUAGCACGCAAAGGAAACAAGCGGUUCCAUUUAAAAAGAAGCCGAAUUGUUUUACAACUUUAUUUGG